GCCUUUUCGGAGGGUAGGCGUGUGGUGCUGCGGUCUCUCGGGGCGGGCCGGAGGAUUCUCCAGAUUUGUGGAGUUCCGUCACAUAGGGUAUGAUUGGCGGGUAGAGACACACACACGGUAAGACGCCAUGUAAAGCCUUCGCCAGAGGUUGGUGCUGAGGAGGCACAAAGCCAGACGCGGUCGGGGUAAAGGU